UACGGUUGCCUCGGCGCUGGCGGUCCGGAAGGCCCUCGGGCCCCCGGAUCCUCGGGUCUCCCGCUCGCGGGAGGCUGCCCGCCGGAGUGCCGAAACCAAACUCUUGAUAUUUUAUGUCUCUCUGAGUAAACUUUUAAAUAAGUCAAAACUUUCAACAACGGAUCUCUUGGUUCUGGCAUCGAUGAAGAACGCAGCGAAAUGCGAUAAGUAAUGUGAAUUGCAGAAUUCAGUGAAUCAUCGAAUCUUUGAACGCACAUUGCGCUCGCCAGUAUUCUGGCGAGCAUGCCUGUUCGAGCGUCAUUUCAACCAUCAAGCUCUGCUUGCGUUGGGGAUCCGCGGCUGCCCGCGGUCCCUCAAAAACAGUGGCGGGCUCGCUAGUCACACCGAGCGUAGUAACUCUACAUCGUUCUGGUCGUGCGGCGGGUUCUUGCCGUAAAACCCCCCAAUUUCUAAGGUUGACCUCGGAUCAGGUAGGAAUACCCGCUGAACUUAAGCAUAUCAAUAAGCGGAGGAAAAGAAACCAACAGGGAUUGCCCUAGUAACGGCGAGUGAAGCGGCAACAGCUCAAAUUUGAAAUCUGGCUUCGGCCCGAGUUGUAAUUUGUAGAGGAAGCUUUUGGUGAGGCACCUUCUGAGUCCCCUGGAACGGGG
rnacentral:rRNA from 1 species